rnacentral:lncRNA from 1 species
CUUUGAUACUUGUAUUAUUCCUCUAACAUUUUCUUGUCUCCUUUGAAAUAGAAAGAAGACAGCUGCCUGAAAAGCAUGAAACCUGGUAAAUAUCCUACAAUUUCAUAUGUUAACAUACAACUUGUUCAGCCUGAGCUUCUCCCAUUGGUGCUCUGACAUUUUUUUAUUCCCAUUUAUCUCUAGAUAAUUGGUCGAUGCAUUCAUCUUCAGAAGAAAAAGCUGAUGACUUUUCAGAAAGAACAAUCGCUUCAUCACUUGCAUCUGAAGAGAAUGAAGGUAACUUUGAAGGCAGCGUUUCACCAGCAGAUGAAACAAUACAAGCAAGUACCAGUGGAAGUAAAUA